UACAGAGGGUGCAAACGUUGCUCGGAAUUACUGGGCGUAAAGCGUGUGUAGGCGGACCGGUGUGUCAGAUGUGAAAGCCUUGGGCUCAACCCGAGAACUGCAUUUGAAACUGCCGGACUAGAGUAUUGGAGAGGGAUGCGGAAUUCCUGGUGUAGAGGUGAAAUUCGUAGAUAUCAGGAGGAACACCGGUGGCGAAGGCGGCAUCCUGGACAAUUACUGACGCUGAGACACGAAAGCAUGGGGAGCAAACAGG
rnacentral:rRNA from 1 species